rnacentral:rRNA from 1 species
UAAGUAGGGCGCGAGCGUUGUCCGGAAUUAUUGGGCGUAAAGAGCUCGUAGGCGGCUUGUCGCGUCGGUUGUGAAAGCCCGGGGCUUAACUCCGGGUCUGCAGUCGAUACGGGCAGGCUAGAGUUCGGUAGGGGAGAUCGGAAUUCCUGGUGUAGCGGUGAAAUGCGCAGAUAUCAGGAGGAACACCGGUGGCGAAGGCGGAUCUGGGCCGAUACUGACGCUGAGGAGCGAAAGCGUGGGGAGCGAACAGG